UCUUUGAAAUUACGGAGGGCAUGGGUUAAACCACGUGUUCCCGACAACAGUGAAUGCAAAGCCCACGUGAUAAAGAGCACAGCUUGACCCGUGUGGCUGGAGCACCGAGGGUCAGGGAGAGGCCGAGGCAGCACCGCAGGACCUGCAGAAGCACAAUGGAUAUUCAGAUGGAGAAGUGAGGACUGAAGAUCGCCCAGGCUGCCAUCUUUAAAUAGCCCCAAACAGGAAGUCAUCCCUGGCCACCGACCACAGGGAGUUCUCUGUCCAGAAGCUGCAUCCCAGAUGGGCCUCCUCCUUGCUCCCUCCCCCUCCUCCCUCCUCCGGAGGAGCUCAGGGAACACAGCCACAUUUU